ensembl:misc_RNA Metazoa_SRP Metazoan signal recognition particle RNA
GCUGGGCGUGGUAGCGCGCGCCUGUAAUCCCAGCUACUCAGGAGGCUGAGGCAGAAGAAUCGCUUGAACCUGGGAGGCAGAGGUUGCAGUGAGCCAAGAUCGUGCCACUGCACUUCAGCCUGGGUGACAGAGUGAGACUCUAUCUCAA